rnacentral:rRNA from 1 species
UACGAAGGGUGCAAGCGUUACUCGGAAUUACUGGGCGUAAAGCGUGCGUAGGUGGUUCGUUAAGUCUGAUGUGAAAGCCCUGGGCUCAACCUGGGAAUUGCAUUGGAUACUGGCGGGCUAGAGUACGGUAGAGGGUGGCGGAAUUCCUGGUGUAGCAGUGAAAUGCGUAGAUAUCAGGAGGAACAUCCGUGGCGAAGGCGGCCACCUGGACCAGUACUGACACUGAGGCACGAAAGCGUGGGGAGCAAACAGGAUUAGAUACCCUGGUAGUCCACGCCCUAAACGAUGCGAACUGGAUGUUGGGUGCAACUAGGCACUCAGUAUCGAAGCUAACGCGUUAAGUUCGCCGCCUGGGGAGUACGGUCGCAAGACUGAA